AUUGAACGCUGGCGGCAUGCUUUACACAUGCAAGUCGAACGGCAGCGCGGGCUUCGGCCUGGCGGCGAGUGGCGAACGGGUGAGUAAUACAUCGGAACGUGCCCAGUAGUGGGGGAUAGCUCGGCGAAAGCCGGAUUAAUACCGCAUACGACCUGAGGGUGAAAGCGGGGGAUCUUCGGACCUCGCGCUAUUGGAGCGGCCGAUGGCAGAUUAGCUAGUUGGUGGGGUAAAGGCCUACCAAGGCGACGAUCUGUAGCUGGUCUGAGAGGACGACCAGCCACACUGGGACUGAGACACGGCCCAGACUCCUACGGGAGGCAGCAGUGGGGAAUUUUGGACAAAGGGCGAAAGCCUGAUCCAGCAAUGCCGCGUGUGUGAUGAAGGCCUUCGGGUUGUAAAGCACUUUUGGCGGGAACGAAAAGGACUGUGCCAAUACCACGGUUUGAUGACGGUACCCGCAGAAUAAGCACCGGCUAACUACGUG
rnacentral:rRNA from 1 species